AUACGGAGGGUGCAAGCGUUAAUCGGAAUUACUGGGCGUAAAGCGCGCGUAGGCGGAUAUUUAAGUCUCAUGUGAAAGCCCUGGGCUCAACCUGGGAACUGCAUGGGAUACUGGGUAUCUAGAAUACAGUAGAGGGUAGUGGAAUUUCAGGUGUAGCGGUGAAAUGCGUAGAGAUCUGAAGGAACAUCAGUGGCGAAGGAGACUACCUGGACUGAUAUUGACGAUGAGGUGCGAAAGCGUGGGGAGCAAACGGGAUUAGAAACCCUUGUAGUCC
rnacentral:rRNA from 1 species